UGGGGAAUAUUGCACAAUGGGCGCAAGCCUGACCGAGCAACGCCGCGUGAGUGAAGAAGGUUUUCGGAUCGUAAAACUCUGUUGUUAGAGAAGAACAAGGACGUUAGUAACUGAACGUCCCCUGACGGUAUCUAACCAGAAAGCCACGGCUAACUACGUGCCAGCAGCCGCGGUAAUACGUAGGUGGCAAGCGUUGUCCGGAUUUAUUGGGCGUAAAGCGAGCGCAGGCGGUUUCUUAAGUCUGAUGUGAAAGCCCCCGGCUCAACCGGGGAGGGUCAUUGGAAACUGGGGGACUUGAGUGCAGAAGAGGAGAGUGGAAUUCCAUGUGUAGCGGUGAAAUGCGUAGAUAUAUGGAGGAACACCAGUGGCGAAGGCGGCUCUCUGGUCUGUAACUGACGCUGAGGCUCGAAAGCGUGGGGAGCAAACAGG
rnacentral:rRNA from 1 species